rnacentral:tRNA from 1 species
GCCCGAGUAGGCCCCGGGUUCGGAAGCCGCCGCCUCGUGCGCGGCGUCGGGCGCCGACUCCGGCGCGCGUUCGGGCUCCUGCUCGGGCUCC